rnacentral:lncRNA from 1 species
CUCAAGCAAAAACGUACACAGUUAAUCAAUAGUGACAAUGUGAUCCGAAUAAAAGUCUCUAACGACACAGUGUAACAUAAAGAUGACAAACAUGGUGUCAUAUUAUAAAAACAAGAUUACAAAACGAGAAACAGAACACAGAAACAGGAACUAAAGCAUAACAGAGUGUCUUCUUCCUUCUUCCUUCAUUAUUCAUCCACCAACAGAGAAAUAUACCAAACCCUCACUCCAGCAUUCCAAGCUUAGUUUUACAUCAUUGAUCAUCGGCCAUUUCUCUGCAUCUCAGCCUUCUUCGACUUCCUCCAAACCAUACUGACGCAACAUAACACGACCACCACCAGCAGAAUCAAGACAAUGAGAACCACCGAAGCCCCCACCGCCACUUUCAACAACACUGAUAUGGGAUGCGAAUCCACGGCAGCUUCUGUCAUUAGUACUGAUGAUGACAGUGAGAUCAGGUGAAUGAUGAAGGUGAUGAAGAGAUGAUGAUGAUAAAAAAUCAUUUCUCUUACUUCUAUCAGACUCAAUAAAUUAGACCCACUAGUACUCAGCAGCGAGUCUGUUAAAGAAGGAAUCAAAAUUUCCAUUUACAGAAUUUUACUUGGCCUUUUGUCUGAUGAGGACGUACCUCAUCUGUUUUAAAGCUUGGGUUUAGCUACAGGGGAAUAUUAAUUAGUUCAUGUUUCACUUUCACUGUCAGGAUGUGAGCUACAUGUCACAUGCCAUCCAUGAUCCAUGCAUGCAUACUCUAUUUUCCGAAAUGCUUUCACCUUUGUUUGCCAUUCGGUGUAUACUCUUUUUUAACAUCGAAGAAUUUCUCCAGUUUCGGUAAAUCACUAUUGGGACUUGAGUUUCAAGUUUCAACCAAUGAAAUUAGAAGAAGACUUAAAUCCCAAUAACACUAAAUGAAUAAAUGUGAACUGUCACCAUGCAAACAGUGGUUUGGACUUCCCCAGAAACUCCAUUAAAACCGAUAGGGAUUCACUGUCCAGCUAUAUAGUUUCUGUUUCUGAUCUUUCCAUUUAUCUCACAUUGUUUCCCGAGCAAUGACCAAGAACAGGGAGAAGAGCAAUAGCAGCAGGCAGCUAUGGAUGACAGACAGGGGAGGAGUUGAUAGAAUAACCAAUCUCCCAGACUCCAUUAUUUACCACAUGCUCCUGGAAGCAUAUUCCUUCCCUCAAUCUAGAGCUGAAAUUGGAUCGAUAAUCCAGGUACAAAAAGUUGGUAGAAAAAGUCUUGUCCCUUCGCUACCCACUUCAUGUUAGCAAGGUUUCAUGGGCCGCAUAUACAUGUUUUGCCCAUUCUGAUGGUUCUGGGGUUGCUCUGCUAAAAGAUGUCGUCCAAUAUGCAGUCUCUCAUGGUGCUCAACAUUUCAACCUACGACCCA